AUACUUACCUGGCAGGGAAGAUUCCAUGAUCAUGAAGGUGGUUUUCCCAGGAUGAGGUUUAUUCCUUGCACUCUGGAUGUACUGACCCCUGCAAUUUCCCCAAAUGUGGGAAACUCCAAUGCAUAAUUUGUAGUAGUGGGGGACUGU
rnacentral:snRNA from 1 species